GACAGAGGGUGCAAACGUUGCUCGGAAUCACUGGGCGUAAAGGGCGUGUAGGCGGGACGGUAAGUCGGGCGUGAAAUCCCUAGGCUCAACCUAGGAACUGCACUCGAAACUACCAUUCUUGAGUGUCGGAGAGGAAAGCGGAAUUCCUGGUGUAGAGGUGAAAUUCGUAGAUAUCAGGAGGAACACCAGUGGCGAAGGCGGCUUCUGGACGAUAACUGACGCUGAGACGCGAAAGCGUGGGGAGCAAACAGG
rnacentral:rRNA from 1 species